rnacentral:rRNA from 1 species
GACGAACGCUGGCGGCGUGCUUAACACAUGCAAGUCGAACGGAAAGGCCCUGCUUUGGUGGGGUGCUCGAGUGGCGAACGGGUGAGUAACACGUGAGUAACCUGCCCUUGACUUUGGGAUAACUCUAGGAAACUGGGGCUAAUACCGGAUAGGAGCGCCUGCUGCAGGGUGUGGGGUGGAAAGUUUCGGCGUUUGGGGUUGGACUCGCGGCUUUUCAGCUGUUGGGGGGGGUAGUGGCUUACCAAGGGUUGGCCGGGUGGGCGGCCUGAGAGGGUGACGGGCCACAUUGGGACAGAGAUACCGCCCAGACUCAUACGGGAGGAAGGAGUGGAAAAUAUUGCACAAUGGGCGGACGCCUGGUGGAGCCACCCCGCGUGCGAGAUGACGGUCCUCGGGGUGUAAACCGCUUGCGAGUGUGAAGACGCGUGAGGACGGGAAAUGGGUAAAGAAGCACGGCCAAAUUACGU